GUGUCAGCAGCCGCGGUAAUACGGAGGGAGCAAGCGUUACUCGGAAUUAUUGGGCGUAAAGGGCGCGUAGGCUAUUUGACAAGUCUCGUGUGAAAGCCCAGAGCUUAACUCUGGAAGUGCAUGAGAAACUGUUAGAUUUGAGUUCCGGAGAGGAAGGCAGAAUUCCCGGUGUAGCGGUGAAAUGCGUAGAUAUCGGGAGGAAUACCAGUGGCGAAGGCGGCCUUCUGGACGGAUACUGACGCUGAGGCGCGAAAGCCAGGGGAGCAAACGGGAUUAGAUACCCGAGUAGUCC
rnacentral:rRNA from 1 species